AAUACUUGCAAGUCGAGCGAACAGAGAAGGAGCUUGCUCCUUUGACGUUAGCGGCGGACGGGUGAGUAACACGUGGGCAACCUACCCUAUAGUUUGGGAUAACUCCGGGAAACCGGGGCUAAUACCGAAUAAUCUAUUGUCCCUCAUGGGACAAUACUGAAAGACGGUCUCGGCUGUCGCUAUAGGAUGGGCCCGCGGCGCAUUAGCUAGUUGGUGAGGUAACGGCUCACCAAGGCAACGAUGCGUAGCCCACCUGAGAGGGUGAUCGGCCACACUGGGACUGAGACACGGCCCAGACUCCUACGGGAGGCAGCAGUAGGGAAUCUUCCACAAUGGGCGAAAGCCUGAUGGAGCAACGCCGCGUGAGUGAAGAAGGAUUUCGGUUCGUAAAACUCUGUUGUAAGGGAAGAACAAGUACAGUAGUAACUGGCUGUACCUUGACGGUACCUUAUUAGAAAGCCACGGCUAACUACGUGCCAGCAGCCGCGGUAAUACGUAGGUGGCAAGCGUUGUCCGGAAUUAUUGGGCGUAAAGCGCGCGCAGGUGGUUUCUUAAGUCUGAUGUGAAAGCCCACGGCUCAACCGUGGA
rnacentral:rRNA from 1 species